rnacentral:rRNA from 1 species
CGGAAGGUCCUGGUGUUAUCCGGAUUUAUUGGGUUUAAAGGGAGCGUAGGCCGUCAGGCAAGCGUGUUGUGAAAUGUCGUGGCUCAACCAUGGACUUGCAGCGCGAACUGCCCGACUUGAGUGCGCAGAAAGCAGGCGGAAUUUGUGGUGUAGCGGUGAAAUGCUUAGAUAUCACGAAGAACCCCGAUUGCGAAGGCAGCCUGCUGUAGCGCUACUGACGCUGAAGCUCGAAAGUGCGGGUAUCGAACAGGAUU